GAGAGCAGUAUUAUGGUUGUGUCUCAGGCUUAGAUCAUUUAUCGAAAGCAUACAGAAGAGAAAACAGCAAGCUUAGCAACAAUGAAGAGAUUUGUUUGCAAGGCCAGACCAUGAAGCCUCAGAGCAACUUGGACACUUCAGAUACCUUCCAAGCACAUGCCAAAGCAGGUGCCACGUGCAGCAGGCUGGUGGAGCCACGAGACCCCAGACCUAGCAUGCAAGCAUCUGGCGGAAGAUCUGUUGCUGCUAUGACUAGCAGUCAGCACCAACAUUUCUGCAGGUCUGCCAGUUUUCCCAGGUAG
rnacentral:lncRNA from 1 species